UACGUAGGGUCCGAGCGUUGUCCGGAAUUAUUGGGCGUAAAGGGCUCGUAGGCGGUUCGUCACGUCGGGAGUGAAAACUCGGGGCUUAACCCCGAGCCUGCUUCCGAUACGGGCAGACUAGAGGUAGGCAGGGGAGAGCGGAACUCCUGGUGUAGCGGUGGAAUGCGCAGAUAUCAGGAAGAACACCGGUGGCGAAGGCGGCCU
rnacentral:rRNA from 1 species